UACGAAGGGGGCUAGCGUUGCUCGGAAUCACUGGGCGUAAAGGGUGCGUAGGCGGGGCUUUAAGUCAGGGGUGAAAUCCUGGAGUUCAACUCCAGAACUGCCUUUGAUACUGAAGAUCUUGAGUUCGGGAGAGGUGAGUGGAACUGCGAGUGUAGAGGUGAAAUUCGUAGAUAUUCGCAAGAACACCAGUGGCGAAGGCGGCUCACUGGCCCGAUACUGACGCUGAGGCGCGAAAGCGUGGGGAGCAAACAGG
rnacentral:rRNA from 1 species